UUCCUUUUAAUGGUAAACACUUUGAUUUUGUUAGGAUUAGGUGCGUUCGGUUUAGACUCUAGUUUGGACACUUUGAUUUUGUUAGGAUUAGGUGCGUUCGGUUUAGACUCUAGUUUGGAUGCAUUAACCUUCUGUUUGCCUUUUUGUUCAGCUGACGAAUGAGAUUUUUGAGAAUGAACAGAAUGAACUUUAGAGCGAGAUGGAGAUGAAUUGGAAGAAUUAGAAGAAUUAGAUGAGUGAGAAGGAGUGGGCUUAGAUUGAGAUGACUUCUUGGCUGGAGACUCUAGGUGACCCUUUUGCUUUUGAUCAUUGGUGGGACUGACCUUAGAGUUUUGAUCUCUUUUGACUUCA
rnacentral:lncRNA from 1 species